rnacentral:rRNA from 1 species
ACUGAAUAGAUACCCUGGUAGUCCACGCUGUAAACGAUGAGAGCUAGUUGUCGGCACGCAUGCGUGUCGGUGACGCAGCUAACGCAUUAAGCUCUCCACCUGGGGAGUACGGCCGCAAGGUUAAAACUCAAAGAAAUUGACGGGGGCCCGCACAAGCGGUGGAGCAUGUGGUUUAAUUCGAAGCAACGCGCAGAACCUUACCCACGUUUGACAUGUCUCGUUUGGUCGCCAGAGAUGGCUUCCUUCAGUUCGGCUGGCGAGAACACAGGUGCUGCAUGGCUGCCGUCAGCUCGUGUCGUGAGAUGUUGGGUUAAGUCCCGCAACGAGCGCAACCCUCGCUACUAGUUGCCAUCAGGUUAUGCUGGGCACUCUAGUGGAACUGCCGGUGGCAAGCCGGAGGAAGGUGGGGAUGACGUCAAGUCCUCAUGGCCCUUACGCGUGGGGCUACACACGUGCUACAAUGGUGGUGACAGA